rnacentral:lncRNA from 1 species
GAGAACACGAAGUAUCUGCACCAUGCAGAGACUAUGCUAGGCUCGUGUACUCCGCCAUCUUUCUACACUCUCCUCAGACAGAGACACUGACUUCUGACAAAGAAACUUCAAUAGAGUUACCAUGCUGCUCACAGUUAGCAUUCCAGGGCCAGCUGCAAAUCGUCUGAUGCUAGAGCAAUUAGAAACGGAACAUACUGAGAUGGUAGGCCCUAGUGUCCAACUGAGAAGUUGCCCAGAAAUUCUCAAAUUUCUAUUGACAUUGGUCCCUAACACUCUACUGGGCACCUCACUGAUGACCUGCUCACUGUUCACCUCAACACGGCUGAGACUCGACCCUCUGCCUGAGUGGGUGCAGCACCACGCUUGCUCAACAUCGUUCACGUCACAGCACAUGUACAAAAUUAUGUCCUUUGUUCAGCCCUCUGGGCAGAUUCAAUGACAAACAUGAAACUCUGCAGAAAAAGUGUUGUAAUUUCUUUACAUUACAGAAUAUUAAGAAAAAAUAAAACUUCCUAAUAAAACCUGUUCCA